UGUCGGCCCCGGGUCCCAGCUGUA
rnacentral:misc_RNA from 1 species